rnacentral:rRNA from 1 species
UCCUAGCCUUAUUAUCAGCUUUUUCUAAACUUACACAUGCAAGUCUCAGCAGACCCGUGAGGACGCCCUUCCAUCUACAAGCAUAAGGAGCCGGUAUCAGGCACUGCCCAUUACACCUAGUCUCACCACACCCCCAAGGGCUACAGCAGUGAUAAACAUUGUCUAUAAGCGACAGCUUGACCCAGUUAUAGAAAAAAGAGCUGGCUAACUCGGUGCCAGCCGCCGCGGCUGAGCUCAAGUUGAUAAACAUCGGUAAGCGUGAUUAAAGACUACCCCAAAUUAGAGUAAAACUAACACUUAGCUGUAACAAGACGAAAGUUACUCUAAUAUUGAACUCACGACAGUUAAGAAACAAACUGGGAUUAGAUACCCCACUAUG